rnacentral:ncRNA from 1 species
GGAGAUCCCGCCUGGGUAAGUGCUAGCCCCACGCCCAGUAUCGAGUGUUGCAGCGACUGUAUAAGACCAGAGGUCGAAGUCAGUCGUUGAAGCGUACACAGAAAGGUAGUGAGGAUGAAGCGAUCGUAGGUGGCCCUGCGACGUUGAAUGGAAUUAGCCCCGAAAUUUGGUAACUGUCGGAUCCUGCCCAAGGUUUGUUCAUGCCUGAAGGCAAUAUCGGUUGCAGCGUUAACGGCAAGCUGUCAUCGGAGGCCCGGGGUCGGCGGCCC